rnacentral:lncRNA from 1 species
CCACCAAUGAUUGUGCCAUUAUACGAAUAUUCCCUGUUAAAACGAAUAUUCCCCAACCAAUCGAAUAUUAUAUAACAACUUGCGUACUUUGCAAAAUUUGUAAAUAUUACCCACAACUAUAACAUUAUAUCAAAUCCACACCAUAAUAUUCAAAAAUAUAUUUCGAGAAAAUUAAUCUUUAUUCAAAAAGUUGGGGUCUUACAAACAUGACCAACCGGUGAUACAAAUGAAUAUCUUUGGCCUGUAAUGCAAAGAUGAAUAUUGAUUAAAGAUGUAUAUUGAUUGAUGUUACAGGGAUAAAAUAUUGAUGAUGGACUUUUAAAUUUUAG